UUUAACCUUUGUCCUUUUGAUAAGCUAACAAGUCAAUAUCACGUGGAUGAGGCAGAAUUAUCCAGUAAUUCUUCACUUUUAUUUUAUUUUAAUAUUAGGUAUUGUAAACUUUGAGAUUAACUUUUAUAUUUGUAGAUGUGAUUGGUUAGGUUGUGAUCUAUGGAGCUGUUCAGACCUACAAGCAAGGAGAUAUUAAAAGUGUCUUUGUGAAUGUUGAACUCGAAGAUGAGCAAUGGCAGUAACACCUGCUGAAUACUACCACCAAAUGCAAGACAAUCAUCUAGGUUCAUGAUGAAUCCUUCUUCAAUGUCCAUGUUCAUUAGCAGAUAAUACUGCAGGGAUUCCGCGAACACAAAUAUGGUUGUUUAAGAGCAACUAAAAUCUUGGCAGAGAUGAGGAAUACAUUAGCGCUAAUUGUUGUUCUGUGUAUCAACUCUCCUAAGGAUGGGUCAAAAGAACACGAAAAUUUGUGGGUUGCUUUUAAAUAUGAUAUUUCACAUAGCAACCAGUUACGCUGCUUCCUUAGCUCAGAUGACUUGGAUGGGGUAUUUGUUCCUGAACCUUAUAUGACUGAACUUUGAGCUGGAGCAAUUCAUCCAAGAUCUAGCGUCUAAACAUAUUAUUUCUCACAUGGAGCAAAAAUUUGUCUUCUCAAUCACCAAGUGCAAGACAAUCAACUACAUUCAUGAUGAAUCCUUCUCCAACAUCCAGGUUCAUUAGGAGAUGAUACUGUAGGGACUCCACGGACACACAGAGGUGCAAAGAAAAAUUCGUAAAUUUCUCUAUUCAAGGUUUAUUCUCUUCAACUCUUGGAAUGAGGUGAUUACUUUUCAAAUGUAAGAGAAAUUUAGGUGGCCACAAUCUGCCAUUUCAGAUUGUCAUUCUAAAAUGUGCAUUGAGCAGUUACAAAUAAUUUUGCCAAAAGCCCUAAAAGGUUAAGGACCUCA